CUCAGAACGAACGCUGGCGGCGUGGAUAAGACAUGCAAGUCGAGCGCUCAUCCGGUUGCAGCAAUGUAAACGGGUGGGAGCGGCGCAAGGGUGCGUAACGCGUGGGUAAUUUGCCGUGAAGUUGGGAAUAACUCGCUGAAAGGCGAGCUAAUGCCGAAUGUGGUUGCCUGGGGGCAUCUCCGGGUUACUAAAGUUGGGGACCGUAAGGCCUGACGCUUCACGAUGAGCCCGCGCCCUAUCAGCUAGUUGGUGAGGUAACGGCCCACCAAGGCUAAGACGGGUAGCUGGUCUGAGAGGACGACCAGCCACACUGGAACUGAGACACGGUCCAGACACCUACGGGUGGCAGCAGUCGAGAAUUUUUCACAAUGGGCGCAAGCCUGAUGGAGCGACGCCGCGUGGGGGAUGAAGGGCUUCGGCCCGUAAACCCCUGUCAUUUGCGAACAAUGCUUUCCCGUUAAUACCGGGAAAGUUGAUGGUAGCGAAAGAGGAAGGGACGGCUAACUCUGUGCCAGCAGCCGCGGUAAUACAGAGGUCCCAAGCGUUGUUCGGAUUCACUGGGCGUAAAGGGUGCGUAGGUGGCGAGGUAAGUCGGAUGUGAAAUCUCGGAGCUCAACUCCGAAAUGGCAUUGGAAACUACCUUGCUAGAG
rnacentral:rRNA from 1 species